rnacentral:lncRNA from 1 species
UUUUUUUUUUUUUUUUUUUCCAUACCUCUAGGAACUCUGACAGUCACCCAAUAUUACCACGAUGGUGUAUAAGCCAGCAUCCAAUUCUGCUGGCUGGUGCCCAUGCCACAUGGGCUGCUAAAAUUUUUAGAUAAGAUUCCUUAAUAUUCUUAUCUCCUUGUAUCCCAAGUAUCUGCGGAGGCUCUCUGCCCUUUGAAAUGCAAAGUAAAUGGAUUCAAAUGCUCCCUGAGUGUGGUCACAGCCAGCCAGGGUUCCUCCAAUCUCUGGGAUUUUGUGGCAAGUGGAGGUAGUAGUCUAUAGGGUUUUCCUACUUCCCCCUGGCUUCAAGCCUCUCUGAGUUACUGUAAUGUUUCCCCGGGUGUAGACACCCACCUCCCCCACCCAUCAUUAUUAACAGCUCAUGUUAACACAAGGCAUUUGAGAAAACUUUUUCUUUGUUUGUUUUAUUAGGGCCACACCUGAGGCAUAUGGAGGUUCCUAGGCUAGGGGGUUGAAUCAGAGCUGGGGGGGUGAAUCAGAGUUGUGGCUGCUGGCCUACAUCACAGCCACAACAAUGCCAGAUCGAAGUCACGUCUGAGACCUACACACCACAGCUCAUGGCAGUGCUGGAUCCUUAACCCACUGAGCGAGGCCAGGGAUCAAACCCGCAUCCUUGUGGAUACUUGUCAGGUUCUUAACCCGCUGAGCCAUAACAGGAAUUUCCGGUAUGUAGAAGACGACUGAAGUUUUCAAGUGAUGGAGGGGUUACCUAUAGACCCGAUAAGAAAAGAAAUCAAAUAUGCAUCCCUCAGCAUUUAUUUAUUUGGCCAUUUCCAACCAGGAGCCUCUCUUCCUGGUGCCCUGUCUCAUCCCAGCUGUGUUGCUAAGCCUUCCCUCUUCUCCCACAUCCCUCACUCCUCGUUUUCCCAGGUUCGUCCCCUUUUCUGCCUUUUCCUCUCGUCCUCUCUCCCUCUUUCCAACUUCAUUCCCAGGCAGUUUUGCAAAGACAAGUAUUCAGGGCUCAGCUCUGCGCUUCCUGGGAUGCUCACGAACGUGUUGGUUCUCAGGAGGACAGUGGCUCUGGGUCCCUCUUUUGAGCGGCACAGGGGAACCCGCGUGGCUUUGCCCUUUUCUUUCCUUUCUCCCAGCCACCCCCGUCCCUGCUGGGGCAGCGUGAAUCAGUGAUCCAUUCCCCGGUGUUACUUAUGAAUGAUUCUGCCACCUGCAAGAGGCUAAAACUACAAUAACCAGCCUUGGUUUCAGGAGCCAAAUGUCUCUUUAUUGUACCCAUUUUAAUGAUGAGAAAAUGGAGGCUCUGUGAGGCUCCGUGAGUAAAUAACUAUCCCAACUACUACAGCCAGUGCCCAGGAGGGAGGGGGUGGGAAUCCAGGUGUGGCGAUGGCAAAUGUAGGCCAUUUCCUCUACAGCAUCAUGAAUUCAAUAAAAAUUACAUUGUUAUCUCUACCUAGAUCAUCCGCACACAUUCGCAGAGUGUUUCCUCUGUCAGAGUGCCAGGCUCAGAAGAUUGGGGUGGGGGUUAUGAAGAUGAAAAAUAAAAGGUUCCUUCAUCAAAGUCAUUCUGCAUCUCGCAGGGAGAUAGGCCAUAUGGCCCAUGAAAUUAAAGUGAGAAUGCAGGAGGUUCAAGGAAAACAGGUUAAAAUACUCCCCCAAAUCCUUUACCUGCCUACUAAAGAAGCAGGAUAGCAGUGGUGAGGAACCUGGGUAUGAAAGCAAGUUACCUACCUGCUCUGUACGUCACUUUUUUUUUUUUUUUUUUUUCAGUUGCCCAAUGAAGAUAAUAAUAGUACCUUCCUUACAGGCUUUACUGAAAGUUAAAUGAAUGAAUACCUGUAAAACACUUAGAACAGGGUCUGGGUACACUACAAACCCUCCAUCAGUGUCAGCUCUUGUUAUUAAGUUAGGCAUGGUGUGCUUGGCCAGCAAUACUUUUAUUUGACGAAUAUCAUCAUUCCUUGCUGGCAGGGGAGGAGGCUGAAGCACAGAGCUGAAGCAGCCUCAUGCACAUCAUGGAGCCUUUUUUGGCAGAGGAAGGAAGAGAAUGCAGGUUUUUGGAGCCGAUCUACUGUUGUUCCAGUAUGUCUCAACAGAUUUGAGAGGACAGGAAAGACUGCUAGGCAAGCUUAUAGAAAAGGCGGGACUGAUUUGAGAUGAAGUGGAUUGUGUUUCGGAGAGCCGAAGUGAUAAAAAACAAUGAAUUGUCCACCCAAAUACAUCCCCCUUGUCUUCCGUGGUGCUGGUAUUGUAUCUGGACACAGACUGCCCGGUUAGGAACUACAUUUCCCAACUUGCCUUGUGGCCAGGGGCAGUGGCCAUAUUGGAAAGUUCUCACCAAUGGGAUCCAAGGAGAAGAAAGUGGCCCCCUCCCAGGCUGGCAUCUUAAGACUUGGGAUAUGCCUCUUCCAUGCUCCUUUCCCCUUUCUUGCUGGCUAUAGACUUGACCAGAGUAGUGGACACUUGUGCAGUGCUUCUCAAACUAUGUGUAUAGAUGUAUUUCUGUAGAUGUGUCCCCUCCACUUGCUGGGACAGUGCCACACCUCCACAUGACAUUCCUGAGCACCCCCUGUGUUCCAUAUACUGAAGGAUGAUACAAGGGCAUCCCAUGUUGGAUGCCUUAAAAUUUAUAGGCUCUUCAUGUGCCUUCGCAUGAUUUGGAUCCAAAGAAAUUCGAGGCGCAAAUGAAAUUAUGGGGGUUGAAGUGCUUUGUAAAAAGAUAGCAAGCAAAUUUUAGUUCAUAAAGCAGCUGGAGAUGAAAGGAGAAUGAGGGAAGGAUUUAGGGAGCCACAAGCAAAGCCCCACGAGGUCUGAGAGACCUGGUGGGGCAGUGAGCAAGACUUAAACUCGGAAAGGAGACUAAAUCACUUUUGAUGCUGAGUCACAAAUUCCAGCUGAGUGGCCUUGGGGGAGUCACGAAGCAUCCUCUGUGUGAGGGAAGAUUGUUAUGAUGACAUUGCAGGAUUGGGACGAAGGUCUGUGAGAAGGUACAUAAAGAAUGAGUGCACCUGUGUGCCAGCCAGGACCUGGCAGGAGACAGAUGGCACAUUCCAGCUGGGUGAUUUGAGAGAGUGUAAUAAAAAGCAGUUUACAAUGGUGUGCCGGGGAUGGGAGACCAACAGGGGACCGUGCACGCCAAAGCAGCAGUCCUGUGUGAGGUCAGGGGUAGCCGUUCUGGCCCCUAGGCUCAAAGGGGAGAGAAGGGAGCGGUUUUCAGAAUCUGGAAGCCAUGCCACAUCCAUGAAGGAGAGGGCCAGCCCACAGGAAUGGUGGCCGGGGCUCAGACGGAUGCUGCCAACCCGUGGAAUCUCUGCAGGGAUUGAGCUCUGAAUAUCAAUCCUGUUCUUCCUCUCUGCCCACCUUCCUAAGUCCUGCCUCUGCCUCCCACUGCCAGACUCCAGUGGAAUGCAGAGGAAAUGAGGGCCCUUGAUGCAGAGAAGGAUGAAGAAGAGGGCACUGAUGGAUCCAAUGACUAUAUCCUCCCAAUUCAGCAUGGAAAGCUUCCCAACUUAU